GUUUUGCCAAGUUCGCGCGGUUUUCCCGUAGCGCCUCAAUUCAAACGACACGUGACGUGAACCGCUAAUCUCCUCCUCAUUACUGCUAGUAGUAAUAUCACGGAAUAAACAUGAAUGAACAACAAAAGCGGUAAUAACCGGAGCUGAUAUCUGUGAGGACUAAGAUCUGACCGUUCUGCAUCACCACAUGAGCGUCGCCCUCUGGUGGAAGGGAGGAGCGGUUCAGAAACCAGGAGAACGUGGGAAACGUUCCUCUGCCGGGGACGCAUUUGAGCCGAGCGGCUGCCACCACUGAGUCGGCAUCAUGGAGGGACACACACCAGAGGUCAAAGUGCAUGACCUGUCUGACCUGAUUAGGGUGAGGUUGAGCUGGAUGGUGAGUGAGUAAUCUUCAAACUCUGAGACCUUACUGAAGAUGUGCGG